CAUCACCGUCCAUAUUCGUUCGGGUUGUACUGAUUAAUAUGCACGUUGAUUUCCAGUGGAAAUAUCUAUGUUCUUCGUCAGUUUAGAAUAUCUUUGAGGUUGGUAUGCAUUGUAUUGAGAUGGUGUAUUUCCUACCACAAUGCGCUGAGAUCUGACGGAUGAGGCACGAUAGUUGUAUAUAUGUCGACUGUUGAUGUGAAUUUCGGUAACAAAACCCUCGAGUGUGAGCACCAUAAAGAGUGCUCAGUUCACGAUGAACUGUGCACUCUUCAUGGUGAAAUGUGUGCUUUGGAUGUCGGAACUUAACUCGUUGGACCUGUCCUUCCCACAUAUGUAAGAGCUCCAGUCUGAGAAGUCUUAAUUUUAAUUACCUUAAUUUUAAUUGUCGCCACUGUGUUGAAAUAACGGAAUUUGAUUCAGAUUGCUACCAGCAAAGAUUUAUCUAGACUCGUGUGGAUUCUUCCUAGAGGUUUCGGGUUUAGGAUACGAGCAUAUUUUCUAAAAAGUAUCAUGGUUAUGGCAUAUCGAAGUACUCUGGCGUCGUAUUUGUAUUUCGGCAUUACAGGCCUCCUUUCGAGAGGGGUGUUCAAUUGGGUUCGUUAUUGCGGCAGCCACACCAGCAAAAACAGAUACAAUCCCCUAGCCAUGGCCACCUCAGUCUCAUGCGCAGAUGCAACAGAUUUGGGACGGGAAACUGUCCAUGGUUGACUAGAGGUAUGACUUUCGAAAGGCAGGUACCUUAGGACCUCUUUCGGAACCAAAACAGAUUGUGCAGUGGCGUUCCGGAACCAAAACAGAUUGGACAUAAUUAUCAUCAUUAAAUAAUUCCUAUUUAAGUGACGUCCUCGAUGCAGGUACUUGCAUAACGAUGUCGUUCCAGGUUGGUACUCUCUAAGUUACCUACUAAGGUGAGAGAAAUGUUUGAGUUUCAAACGAAUAUUUCAAGGGUCUAGUAAUACGUUACAUUUGAUAUAUUGGUAUGUACUAGUAUUGAUGCAGUGGAGUAAGAUGAAUAAACUGAUAGAAUGUACAUGGUUGAAUCAACACAACAAGCGUCUUGGGUUCAAAUUCGAAUAGUGAAUCUGCCCCAAACCAUAUACGUAUUAAAUUAAGGGAAUUGUUAAAUUGACCCACCCAAACAUUUUUUAAUUGGUUUUCAACCAAUGCAGAUCCAACAGUGCAUCUGUUUUAGAUAAUGGUUAGAGUGGGUGGGUCGAUUUAGUAAAUGCCUGGGUCAAUUUAACAAUUCCCUAAAUUAAAGAUUGAAUUUCCACUUUCGAAUACAGUAAUCAAACGAUUAAAACACUUUGUUACUUCGAGGAACAUACAUACGACAUAUGUGUAUCACUACGUAUCAAUGAGAUGACUGUACUUAAGAUGUAAA